GGGCGGGCUGCCCCUCUUUCCCUGUUGCACUACUGUCACGGUCGCAGCGAGCAGUGCAAUAAUGAAAGGGCGUCAGU
ensembl:miRNA